UCCAACUGCCAAACUCCAGCUUGGUCGCCCAGAGCUGGACUUCCCUGAGUCUUGCAGGUGCAGGGUAUGGUCCCGGUGUGAUGAGUUGAACCCCACAGCACUCGGAGAUUAUUCAGAUCUGCAGGCUCUGUUGCCUGCCUGCUUGGGAGGGGAGCUUUUUUUCUUCCCACAGACUGUGCCCUAGCCCCACAUUCCUCAUAACAAAGUCUCAGAGCCAAGUUCAUCAAGAGUUCCUGGGUUUUUCCAAGGCAUGUGCAGACUGUGCCAUCGUUCAUGUGCAACACCAAGGGAAGGAGAAGGGCGCCCAUGUCCACCACACUCACCAGAGGGGUAGCACUUGGCGACAGCACAAGAUGGCAGAUCCCGGGAGCCUGAAUAACUAUCACCUCCCCACCCCAUCAUCAGGUCCAAGUACUCCUCAGCGCCUGAAGUCAGAGCCCAUGACUCUCUGGGUCUUCUGUCCUGGGAUCAUCAGAGGUCAGAGCCAGGGCCGAGGCAAGGCUCAUAGGAGGUUAAGGAAGCACGGUAGCACACAGGCAGACAUGGUGCUGGAGAAGGGGCUGAGAGUUCUACAUCUUGGCAGGCAGCAGGAAGAGACAGUGAGCCAAUGGACCUCGCUUGAACUUCCGAAACCUCAAAGCCCACCACCAGAGUGACACACUUCUUCAAUGAGAUCACACCUCCUAAUGGUGCCAUGCCCUGUGAGCCAGUAAGGGCUAUUUUCAUUCAAACUACCACAUUCUACUCUCUGGCCCCUGAGAGUCUGUGGCCAUAUCAUAGUGCAAAGUCCAUCUGGUCUGACCAAAAGAGUCCCCAUGGUCUAUCACAGUCUCAACACGGCUUAAAAGUCCAAAGUUCGAAGUCUCUUCUGAGACUCAUGCAAUGUCUUAACUGUAAUCACCUGUAACAUCAAAUGAAAGCAGAUCACAUACUUCCGACAUGCAGCAGCACAUACUGUUCUGAAAGGGAGGAAAGGGAACAUACCGAGGAAGUACCAGACCAAAGCAAGAUGGCAACCAACUGGGCAAACUCCAAACUCCUUAUCUCCGCGUCUGAUGUCAGAGCAGACUUCAGAUCUCCAACUCCCUUCAGCUUUGUUGACUGCAACAUACUUCUGAAGUGGAAACUUAAGGGCUCUUUAGAAAGUCAGUUGUGAGGCUGGAGAGAUGGCUUAGUGGUUAAGAGCACUGACUGCUCUUCCAGAGGUCCUGAGUUCAAUUCCCAGCAACCACAUGGUGGCUCACGACCAUCUGUAAUGGGAUGUGUUUCUGGUGUGUUUGAGGACAGCUAUGGUGUACUUAUAUAUAAUAAAUAAAUCUUAAAAAAAAAAAGAAAG